UUACUACACUAUUCAAAUUUUAAAUUAAUUAUUUAGAUCUAAUCUAAAUAAUUAAAAUUAGAUUAAUAUCAUAUUUAUAUAGAAAAUUUAUGUCCUAAGAAAUUAAAGCUCUGAUAUCUUUGUUUGGAAACAGACAGUUCAAAGCAUGUAUUUUUUAAAAUUUUUUAUAGCGAAAGAAAUAGAUUAAACUAUUUAAUCUCUUAUACAUGCU
rnacentral:lncRNA from 1 species